rnacentral:rRNA from 1 species
AUGUACCCCUGGUUUGGUCCCUCGCCCUUUUUGCAGCGUGGAGCAUCUGUGCUCGACAGCUUGUCCAUUGUUGACGCUUGCCCAAACCACCUAUUACCUUCCAUCGUCUUCGCAUGCUCUUAUAUGAUAUCUUCUCACUGGUUGCAGACCGACUGCUUUCCAUGUGAGAUCAUGUUGCUGGUUGGCAAUUACUUUGCGGUAAUAAACAUAUGUCUCCAAUACUUGAACAUAGAAGCUAGCAGAUCUGAUCAAUUCCUUUGCUGGAAACACAAAAACGUUAGUAAAGCAUUCACCUUGAUUGGUUUCUUUCAGAGACUAUCAGCACGGAGCAGGUUACCUGCCGAUUGGUUUCCAUAUGAGAUCAUGUUGCUGGUUGCCGAUUCAUGUACGUUUGCAACAAACCUAGCAAAACACAAAUCUUGA